GUAGGUGACAAGCGUUAUCCGGAAUUACUGGGCGUAAAGCGCACGCAGGUGGCUGAACAAGUCUGACGUGAGAUAUCUCGCGGUUUACCUGGGAGGGGUCGUUGGAAACUGUUUAGCUUGAGGCGACGAGAGGGGUGUAGAAUUCCCGGUGUAGUGGUGGAAUGCGUAGAUAUCGGGAGGAAUACCAGUGGCGAAAGCGGCACCCUGGCGUUAGCCUGACGCUCAUGUGCGAAGGCGUGGGGAGCGAACGGGAUUAGAUACCCCGGUAGUCCACGCGGUAAACGAUGAGUACUAGGUGUGGGUGGAGUGAAAUCCGUCCGUGCCGAAGCAAACGCGUUAAGUACUCCGCCUGGGGAGUACGGCCGCAAGGCUA
rnacentral:rRNA from 1 species